GUGAGGAAUAUUGGUCAAUGGACGAGAGUCUGAACCAGCCAAGUCGCGUGAAGGAAGACGGUUCUAUGAAUUGUAAACUUCUUUUGUGCAGGAAUAAAGUGGGUUACGUGUAACCUUUUGUAUGUACUGUACGAAUAAGGAUCGGCUAACUCCGUGCCAGCAGCCGCGGUAAUACGGAGGAUCCGAGCGUUAUCCGGAUUUAUUGGGGUUAAAGGGUGCGUAGGUGGAUUGAUAAGUCAGCGGUGAAAGUUUGCAGCUUAAAUGUAAAAUUGCCGUUGAAACUGUCGGUCUUGAGUGCAAAUGAGGUAGGCGGAAUGUGUUGUGUAGCGGUGAAAUGCUUAGAUAUAACACAGAACUCCGAUUGCGAAGGCAGCUUACUGGGAUGCAACUGACACUGAUGCACGAAAGCGUGGGUAUCAAACAGGAUUAGAUACCCGAGUAGUCC
rnacentral:rRNA from 1 species